GGGCGGAUAGCUCAGCUGGGAGAGCACCUGCCUUACAAGCAGGGGGUCACAGGUUCGAGCCCUGUUCCGCCCACCA
rnacentral:tRNA from 2 species